rnacentral:rRNA from 1 species
AGUCAAGUAAUUAAGUGCAUGUGGUGGAUGCCUUGGCAGUCAGAGGCGAUGAAAGACGUGAUAGCCUGCGAAAAGCUCCGGGGAGGCGGCAAAUAUCCUUUGAUCCGGAGAUGUCUGAAUGGGGGAACCCACCUACUUUAAGGUAGGUAUUGCAACAUGAAUACAUAGUGUUGCAAGGCGAACGAGGGGAAGUGAAACAUCUCAGUACCCUUAGGAAAAGAAAUCAAUUGAGAUUCCCUCAGUAGCGGCGAGCGAACGGGGAUCAGCCCAUUAAGUUAUGUGUGUUUUAGUGGAACGCUCUGGGAAGUGCGAACGUAGAGGGUGAUAUUCCCGUACACGAAAGGGCACACAUAAUGAUGACGAGUAGGGCGAGGCACGUGAAACCUUGUCUGAAUAUGGGGGGACCAUCCUCCAAGGCUAAAUACUCCUGACUGACCGAUAGUGAACCAGUACCGUGAGGGAAAGGCGAAAAGAACCCUGUGAGGGGAGUGAAAUAGAUCCUGAAACCGCAUGCAUACAAGCAGUGGGAGCACCUUCGUGGUGUGACUGCGUACCUUUUGUAUAAUGGGUCAGCGACUUAUAUUCAGUAGCGAGGUUAACCGUAUAGGGGAGCCGUAGAGAAAUCGAGUCUUAAUAGGGCGUUUAGUUGCUGGGUAUAGACCCGAAACCAGGCGAUCUAUCCAUGAGCAGGUUGAAGGUUGGGUAACACUAACUGGAGGACCGAACCCACUGUCGUUGAAAAGCCAGGGGAUGACUUGUGGAUAGGGGUGAAAGGCUAAUCAAGCCUGGUGAUAGCUGGUUCUCCCCGAAAGCUAUUUAGGUAGCGCCUCGGACGAAUACCAUAGGGGGUAGAGCACUGUUUCGGCUAGGGGGUCAUCCCGACUUACCAAACCGAUGCAAACUCCGAAUACCUAUGAGUACUAUCCGGGAGACAGACUGCGGGUGCUAACGUCCGUAGUCAAGAGGAAAACAAUCCAGACCGCCAGCUAAGGCCCCAAAAUCAUAGUUAAGUGGGAAACGAUGUGGGAAGGCAUAGACAGCUAGGAGGUUGGCUUAGAAGCAGCCACCCUUUAAAGAAAGCGUAAUAGCUCACUAGUCGAGUCGGCCUGCGCGGAAGAUGUAACGGGGCUAAAACUAUGUGCCGAAGCUGCGCGAUGUAUACUUUGUAUACGUGGUAGGGGAGCGUUCUGUAAGCCGAUGAAGGUGUGUUGAGAAGCAUGCUGGAGGUAUCAGAAGUGCGAAUGCUGACGUGAGUAACGACAAAACGGGUGAAAAACCCGUUCGCCGAAAGACCAAGGGUUCCAGUCCAACGUUAAUCGGGGCUGGGUGAGUCGACCCUAAGGCGAGGCCGAAAGGCGUAGUCGAUGGGAAAAUGGUUAAUAUUCCAUUACUUCUGUGUAAUGCGAUGAGAGGACGGAGAAGGCUAAAUCAGCCUGGCGUUGGUUGUCCAGGUGAAAGGAUGUAGGCAUGUAUCUUAGGCAAAUCCGGGGUACUCUAUGCUGAGAUCUGAUAGCAAGCUGUACUUGUACAGCGAAGUGGUUGAUGCCAUGCUUCCAGGAAAAGUCUCUAAGCUUCAGUUACACAGGAAUCGUACCCGAAACCGACACAGGUGGUCAGGUCGAGUAGACCAAGGCGCUUGAGAGAACUCUGCUGAAGGAACUAGGCAAAAUGGUACCGUAACUUCGGGAGAAGGUACGCUGUUGUUGGUGAUGGAACUCGCUUCCUGAGCUGACGACAGCCGCAGAAACCAGGCCGCUGCAACUGUUUAUUAAAAACAUAGCACUCUGCAAACACGAAAGUGGACGUAUAGGGUGUGAUGCCUGCCCGGUGCUGGAAGGUUAAUUGAUGGGGUUAGCGUAAGCGAAGCUCUUGAUCGAAGCCCCAGUAAACGGCGUAAGCGGCCGUAAAGCUAUAACGGUCCUAAGGUAGCGAAAUUCCUUGUCGGGUAAGUUCCGACCUGCACGAAUGGCAUAAUGAUGGCGGCGCUGUCUCCAGCAGAGGCUCAGUGAAAUCGAAAUCGCUGUGAAGAUGCAGUGUACCCGCGGCUAGACGGAAAGACCCCGUGAACCUUUACUGCAGCUUGACACUGAACUUUGACCUUACUUGUGUAGGAUAGGUGGGAGGCUUUGAAGCUGGAACGCUAGUUCCAGUGGAGCCGUCCUUGAAAUACCACCCUGGUAAUGUUGAGGUUCUAACUCUGUCCCGUGAUCCGGGACGAGGACCGUGUCUGGUGGGUAGUUUGACUGGGGCGGUCUCCUCCUAAAGAGUAACGGAGGAGUACGAAGGUGCGCUCAGCGUGGUCGGAAAUCACGCGUAGAGUAUAAAGGCAAAAGCGCGCUUAACUGCGAGACCCACAAGUCGAGCAGGUACGAAAGUAGGUCUUAGUGAUCCGGUGGUUCUGUAUGGAAGGGCCAUCGCUCAACGGAUAAAAGGUACUCUGGGGAUAACAGGCUGAUACCGCCCAAGAGUUCAUAUCGACGGCGGUGUUUGGCACCUCGAUGUCGGCUCAUCUCAUCCUGGGGCUGAAGCAGGUCCCAAGGGUAUGGCUGUUCGCCAUUUAAAGAGGUACGCGAGCUGGGUUUAGAACGUCGUGAGACAGUUCGGUCCCUAUCUACCGUGGGCGCUGGAAAUUUGAGAGGAUCUGCUCCUAGUACGAGAGGACCAGAGUGGACGAACCUCUGGUGUACCGGUUGUGACGCCAGUCGCAUCGCCGGGUAGCUAUGUUCGGAAGGGAUAACCGCUGAAAGCAUCUAAGCGGGAAGCCUACCUCAAGAUAAGAUUUCCCUAGGACUUUAUGUCCUCUAAAGAGCCGUUCGAGACUAGGACGUUGAUAGGUUGGAUGUGGAAGCAUAGUGAUAUGUGAAGCUGACCAAUACUAAUUGCUCGUGAGGCUUGACUAU